GGUGACCUCCAGGGAAGUCGUCAUGUUGCACCCCUU
rnacentral:rRNA from 1 species